GAUGUUCUAACGUGGACCCGUUACCCGGGUUGCGGACAGUGUCUGGUGGGUAGUUUGACUGGGGCGGUCUCCUCCUAAAGAGUAACGGAGGAGCACGAAGGUUGGCUAAUCCUGGUCGGACAUCAGGAGGUUAGUGCAAUGGCAUAAGCCAGCUUGACUGCGAGCGUGACGGCGCGAGCAGGUGCGAAAGCAGGUCAUAGUGAUCCGGUGGUUCUGAAUGGAAGGGCCAUCGCUCAACGGAUAAAAGGUACUCCGGGGAUAACAGGCUGAUACCGCCCAAGAGUUCAUAUCGACGGCGGUGUUUGGCACCUCGAUGUCGGCUCAUCACAUCCUGGGGCUGAAGUAGGUCCCAAGGGUAUGGCUGUUCGCCAUUUAAAGUGGUACGCGAGCUGGGUUUAGAACGUCGUGAGACAGUUCGGUCCCUAUCUGCCGUGGGCGCUGGAGAACUGAGGGGGGCUGCUCCUAGUACGAGAGGACCGGAGUGGACGCAUCACUGGUGUUCGGGUUGUCAUGCCAAUGGCACUGCCCGGUAGCUAAAUGCGGAAGAGAUAAGUGCUGAAAGCAUCUAAGCACGAAACUUGCCCCGAG
rnacentral:rRNA from 1 species